CUUCAAAGAAAUGUUGAAACUAAUAAGUAGGUCUCCGCUUGUAACUAUUACAGUUUUUGUCACCCUAAUUGCUCUCUUCAUCGCUUUCAGAUUUCCUCUCAAGUCCUACAACUUUUCUCUUCGACAACAGAGAUUGUUUACAGCAGAAGAACUUGCUUUGUACAAUGGGACUGAUGAAAACUUACCUAUUCUUUUAGGAAUCCUUGGUUCUGUGUUUGAUGUAACUAGAGGAAAAUCUCAUUAUGGCAUGGGAGGUGGUUACAAUCAUUUUGCAGGAAGGUCAGUUGCUGUUUUUUCCCCCUUAAAAUUUGAUUUCCUGCGAAACACCCUCACUGCAAAGCAGGAUAAGGCUGCGUUUAUGAACUCUCCCUGGAGCCCCACAAGUGUGGAAUGGUUGGUGUACUGAUCACCAUUUCCUAAAAUUUAAUUUCUGUUUUUCUGCUUGUUCAAACGUAGUGGUUUUCUCUUGCAUCCAACAUGUUAAAUUAUAGGUUAAAUUGCUUUUGAUUUGUAAAUCAACCAUCUUAACACUGAAUAUGUAGCUUGAAAUACUAAAGUAUUCUUCAAGUCACCGUGAACAUGAAAAUCAGCCAUGUUCUUUUACCUUUUUAGCCUAUUGUUUUAUUUCCAAGCGUUGAGCAAUAUACACUUGGUUUUGUUCCUUUUCUUUGCUGUGAUUGAUCCAUCUUUUACUUCAAUUUUAGCUUUUUGUUAGGGGCUUUUGAAUGCUUGAGUUAACAAUACCAAAGGUCAAAAAUUGUAGAUUUAUUCAAAGCUCAGUGUUCGAAAUACAUUAAAAUUUCAUGGUCAAAGUGGAUUUUAUUGACUAAUUAAGUGAUCUAUGGCACAAUUACCCACAGUUGAAUUUAAUUCCAUGCUUUUUUAUGCAUUUAAACUCAUAAAUCAUAUUGUUUAUUGAAUUUCAGCUGAAGUCAUUUAUUUAAUGCAAUUUUCUGUUCUUAAAAUGGAUGUUGCAACUAGCGAGAUUUUAAAUUACAACUGCAAUGGCCUGCAACAUAUGACUGCAACUCCAAUUGUGGUCAGUCAUGGCUCAGAGUUAAAUCUACGGACCCAUAUUACUAGUAUUUGGAAUUAGUUUGUUGGCAUUGUCAUUGUUUUCCUCAUCAUUAUCAUGACUUCUAUUCGGAUUGGAAUAUUUGAGAAUCUCCUGCAAACUACAUUGAUCAAUAGUUUAUGGCAAUUAAUCUUGCAUAUUCUUUGUUUUUAAUGUGCAGUCUCUACUGAUUUCUGUACCCAUAUGACAAUUGGCAUCUAAUAGUACCUAAAUUACCAAUUUUAAUUUUUUUACAUGACUAUUUGGUUUGUAGAAGGCCAUUGAGCUAUACAUAUAGCAAUUAAUUGUAUUUUUCUCCUCCUUUUAUUUGAUUAUUCUCUACAUAUAUCUCCAGACUCAUUACUGAC
rnacentral:misc_RNA from 1 species